GAUGAACGCUAGCUACAGGCUUAACACAUGCAAGUCGAGGGGAAACGGCAUCGAAAGCUUGCUUUUGAUGGGCGUCGACCGGCGCACGGGUGAGUAACGCGUAUCCAACCUGCCCAUCACUUUGGAAUAACCUUGCGAAAGUAAGACUAAUGCCCAAUGACAUCCCACGAAGGCAUCCGAAUGGGAUUAAAGAUUUAUCGGUGAUGGAUGGGGAUGCGUCUGAUUAGCUUGUUGGCGGGGUGACGGCCCACCAAGGCAACGAUCAGUAGGGGUUCUGAGAGGAAGGUCCCCCACAUUGGAACUGAGACACGGUCCAAACUCCUACGGGAGGCAGCAGUGAGGAAUAUUGGUCAAUGGGCGAGAGCCUGAACCAGCCAAGUAGCGUGCAGGAUGACGGCCCUAUGGGUUGUAAACUGCUUUUAUAAGGGAAUAAAGUGGGUCACGUGUGACUUUUUGCAUGUACCUUAUGAAUAAGGACCGGCUAAUUCCGUG
rnacentral:rRNA from 1 species